AUACGUAGGGUGCAAGCGUUAAUCGGAAUUACUGGGCGUAAAGCGUGCGCAGGCGGUUUUGUAAGACAGAGGUGAAAUCCCCGGGCUCAACCUGGGAACUGCCAUUGUGACUGCAAGGCUGGAGUGCGGCAGAGGGGGAUGGAAUUCCGCGUGUAGCAGUGAAAUGCGUAGAUAUGCGGAGGAACACCGAUGGCGAAGGCAAUCCCCUGGGCCUGCACUGACGCUCAUGCACGAAAGCGUGGGGAGCAAACAGGAUUAGAUACCCUGGUAGUCCACGCCCUAAACGAUGUCAACUGGUUGUUGGGGAUUUAUUUUCUCAGUAACGAAGCUAACGCGUGAAGUUGACCGCCUGGGGAGUACGGCCGCAAGGUUAAAACUCAAAUGAAUUGGCGGGG
rnacentral:rRNA from 1 species